AGUUAUCUUAAAAAUAAUCGAACGUUUUUUGCUAAAAUAUCGAUUGUGAAGAUGUUUUUAUUUUUUCUAAUAUAUUUAUAAAAGAUAAUU
rnacentral:snoRNA from 1 species